rnacentral:rRNA from 1 species
CCUACGGGAGGCAGCAGUGAGGAAUAUUGGACAAUGGCGGGAAGGCUGAAGCAGCGAUGCCGCGUGAAGGGCAGAGACCUACGGGAGUUAAACUUCUAUUGUGCGGGAGCAAUAAUGGUCACGUGUGGCCAGACGAGCGUACCGUACGAAUCAGCACCGGCGAAAUCCGUGCCAGCAGCCGAGGUAAAACGGGGGAUGCAAGCGUUAACCGGAUUUUUUGGGUUGAAAGGGGUCGUAGGCUGUGAAGUAAGUCAGCGGUGGAAUGCCCCCGCUGAACGGGGUGAAGUGACAUUGAUACUGCCUUGCUGGAAUGCAGAUGCGGUGGGAGGAAUGUGUGGUGUAGCGGUGAAAUGCAUAGAUAUCA